rnacentral:rRNA from 1 species
GACGAACCGUGCGAACGUUGUUCGGAAUCACUGGGCUUAAAGGGCGCGUAGGCGGGCUACCAAGUCUGUGGUGAAAUCCUCCGGCUCAACCGGAGAACGGCCGUGGAUACUGGGAGCCUCGAGGGAGAUAGGGGCAGGCGGAACUGAUGGUGGAGCGGUGAAAUGCGUUGAUAUCAUCAGGAACUCCGGUGGCGAAGGCGGCCUGCUGGAUCUCAUCUGACGCUGAGGCGCGAAAGCCAGGGGAGCAAACGGG